CGCUGUCCCGGGCCGGCCUGGCCCGGCGGAUCGAGCCGGCCGGCAGCCCGGCCCGGUUCGAGGCCCGGGCCGGCGAC
rnacentral:tRNA from 1 species